AAUACGAGAUUAUGCCGACAAAAAUGUGACCAAAAUUUUCUGUGUGCAUCCAAGUUACCAAUAAAUGCACACUAUCAUACCAAGCCUCAUCGUACCUCCUCUCUUUGCCACGAUUGACGAUCAACAUCACCCCACGAACAAACAGCAAGAUCUCCAACAAUGCCAAACAAUAGGAUGAUCAUUGUACCACUGAAGUUGCUAGCGUGCAGUCCGGUUCUUCUAUAAAGUGCAUGGUGGUUAGAAUCAAGUGAAAUUGACAUCAAAAUCCACAACAUCAAUUGAGAAGAAAGACCCGCGUCUAGUACGUAAACCGCGUGUGCCUCCGAAGGGUCUGGAUUUGACACGCAGGUUAUAGAGGUAACAUAAAAGUCCUCCUUUCUACAUAACGUAGCACUAAUACGAACAUUUAGCUCUCCUCGCAUGUACUAAGUGCUGAUCAUGUGCUACGAACGGACAAUUCGUUGAGCGAAUCGAGAUCAUAGAGCUCCGUUCCCAAAACCAAGCCCAUUGCUAAUUACAAUUAAACCACGUUAUCCGGACGAAAUAUAUACGAACAGAAGGCCUUCAAAACCAGAGGGCCUUUUUGUUUGCAGUCCAAUCUGGCACGUGAAGACCGGACAGAACGCUCUGUCUCUCUCACUGCAUGUACUUUCCCCGUGCCCUUGAGACGACCGCUGCGGGAGGCUGUAUGAGUAGGAUCUACGCAAAGAGGAAAGGAGAGGAGUGACAUCAUCACUUUGUUGCGACG